GACGUAGGGCGCGAGCGUUAUCCGGAAUUAUUGGGCGUAAAGAGCUCGUAGGCGGUUUGUCGCGUCUGCUGUGAAAACUGGAGGCUCAACCUCCAGCCUGCAGUGGGUACGGGCAGACUAGAGUGCGGUAGGGGAGAUUGGAAUUCCUGGUGUAGCGGUGGAAUGCGCAGAUAUCAGGAGGAACACCGAUGGCGAAGGCAGAUCUCUGGGCCGUAACUGACGCUGAGGAGCGAAAGCGUGGGGAGCGAACAGG
rnacentral:rRNA from 1 species